ACACGACCGUACCGCAAACCGACACUGGUGCGCGAGAUGAGUAUUCUAAGGCGCUUGAGAGAACUCAGGAGAAGGAACUCGGCAAAUUGACACCGUAACUUCGGAAGAAGGUGUGCCUUUAGUAGGUGAAGUCCCUCGCGGAUGGAGCCCAAUGAGGUUGCAAAAAAUCGGUGGCUGCGACUGUUUAUUAAAAACACAGCACUCUGCAAACACGAAAGUGGACGCAUAGGGUGUGACGCCUGCCCGGUGCUGGAAGAUUAAAUGAUGGGGUGCAAGCUCUUGAUUGAAGUCCCAGUAAACGGCGGCCGUAACAAUAACGGUCCUAAGGUAGCGAAAUUCCUUGUCGGGUAAGUUCCGACCUGCACGAAUGGCGUAACGAUGGCCACACUGUCUCCUCCUGAGACUCAGCGAAGUUGAAAUGUUUGUGAUGAUGCAAUCUCCCCGCGGAAAGACGGAAAGACCCCAUGAACCUUUACUGUAGCUUUGUAUUGGACUUUGAACAGAUCUGUGUAGGAUAGGUGGGAGGCUUUGAAGCAGGGUCGCUAGAUCUUGUGGAGCCAACGUUGAGAUACCACCCUGGUGUGUUUGAGGUUCUAACCUAGGCCCGUAAUCCGGGUUGGGGACAGUGCAUGGUAGGCAGUUUGACUGGGGCGGUCUCCUCCCAAAGUGUAACCGAGGAGUUCGAAGGUACGCUAGUUACGGUCGGACAUCGUGACGAUAGUGCAAUGGCAUAAGCGUGCUUAACUGCGAGACUGACAAGUCGAGCAGAUGCGAAAGCAGGACAUAGUGAUCCGGUGGUUCUGUAUGGAAGGGCCAUCGCUCAACGGAUAAAAGGUACUCUGGAUAACAGGCUGAUACCGCCCAAGAGUUCAUAUCGACGGCGGUGUUUGGCACCUCGAUGUCGGCUCAUCUCAUCCUGGGGCUGUAGCCGGUCCCAAGGGUAUGGCUGUUCGCCAUUUAAAGAGGUACGUGAGCUGGGUUUAAAACGUCGUGAGACAGUUUGGUCCCUAUCUUCCGUGGGCGCUGCAGAUUUGAGGAAGCCUGCUCCUAGUACGAGAGGACCGGAGUGGACGCACCUCUGGUGUAUCGGUUGUCACGCCAGUGGCAUUGCCGAGUAGCUAUGUGCGGAAGAGAUAACCGGUGAAAGCAUCUAAGCGGGAAACUCGUUUCAAGAUGAGAUCUGCCGGGGCCUUGAGCCCCCUGAAGAGUCGUUCAAGACCAGGACGUUGAUAGGUCGGGUGUGGAAGCGCAGUAAUGCGUUAAGCUAACCGAUACUAAUUGCUCGUGCGGCUUGACC
rnacentral:rRNA from 1 species